UACGGAGGAUGCGAGCGUUAUCCGGGUUUAUUGGGUUUAAAGGGUGCGUAGGCGGACUGUCAAGUCAGCGGUAAGAUUGAGAGGCUCAACCUCUUCCCGCCGUUGAAACUGGUGGUCUUGAGUGGAUGAGAAGUACGCGGAAUGCGUGGUGUAGCGGUGAAAUGCAUAGAUAUCACGCAGAACUCCGAUUGCGAAGGCAGCGUACCGGCAUCCAACUGACGCUGAGGCACGAAAGCGUGGGGAUCAAACAGG
rnacentral:rRNA from 1 species